ensembl:lncRNA
CGGAGCUUCCCUCCAGGGUAGAAAGUUUCAGCUCAGAGGAUAUUGCCGCAACAAGAAGAUGACCUGGAGGCUCUCAAGGAAUAAGAUGCAGGCUCUACCCUCAUCUGGGUGGCAGAUGGUCACAGUAAGUAGACACAAGGAACAAGGGGGCUCUCCUAUGAGGCUACUCUGUGCUGUAGGUCAGGUUUGCGCCUCUCUCUUCCUUCCUCCCUCACUCCCCCUCCCUCUCAUUUUCCCUCUCUCCCUCCCCUGCCUUUGUCUGUCUGUCUCUCACUCUCAUACACAUGCAGCUAUGUAGGCAGCCAGUGUGGGGGUUCUGGCCUUUUCUUGACCUCUGGCUUUGGAUACAGAUUCUCUCUCAUUGGUUUCCCACCCUGAGUGUGUAAGGAGAGUGGUGUCGAGGGAGGUGAGAAGAGGAGUAACACCUUCCAGUACAGUGUAAACUGAAUCUCUUAGCGGGGAGAAAACAAAAACAAAACAAAAGAAACAUUUAUGUCAAAGAUUCUAUAAGGCUGGUUGAGUGAGUAGAUUGUCCGGGAUUAUGGAGUUAGAAUGUUGCAGAUCUGGAGCCACAUCAUCUUGGGCUAUCUUUAGUCUCCUUAGUAGCCAUAUCAGCUACUUCAGUGUAUGACCUAACAGCCUGUGACUGUCAGGUGACUUCCUUUCUAGAAUGCAAAACAGACCUUCAGCUUCCACAAACCCAGUCUUAAGAAUGCCACCAGACAGCAUCUGUCUAUAACAGAUUUUGCUGUUUCUCUGUGGCCCGCCAUCCUGAUGGUUUGUUUCCACCAAUGUGUUUUUAUAGAUUCUCAGUUUAUAAGUUUCUUUGUUCUGUUACUGUAAAAACUCCAUGAAACUGUCUCCACAUUGGAAUAUGGCAUUUGGGGGGAAACCAAACUGUGUUCCUGAGCUGUGGUCACUCAUAUUUAACUCAAAAUAAAAUCUGUUAUUCCCUUUGAGGUGAAAGCUGUGGUUUUGCAUCAACAAUCCAGACUUCUGAAUGCCUCCUUCAAGUGUAGCCUGGGGUAGGUGAGCAGACAUGGAGCCGCCCACAUGGGGUAGAAACUCCUGGAAAGUUGCUUCAAAGGAAGGAGAUGAGAGGGUCCAGUGGUGUGGACCCUCUGUUUGCUGUGGUGUAAACUGAGCUGGAGGUAUAGACAGGAUAGACAGGUUCUGUGGGUGUAUGUGGGUGGGGCCGAGGAAGCUCCAGGGGACUGUGUUAUAGGUAUAUUUCUCCUCUUGUUUAGGUAUUGUGUUUAUGCAGCUCAUUUAAAAAUGUAAUGUAUAAUUAAAUACAGAUUACAUAUAGUCUCCUAUUAAAAUAAAAAAUUAGGUUCGUUAGAUUUUUCAGAUAUACAGAGAUAUAUUUGAGAUUGACAGUCUUCAAACCUUUCAAAGACCUACAGAAUAUGGCAUUUAAAAUGGUUUAGGGUUUUCAUGACAGUGAUACACUAUUGCUCCUGGCAACACCAAUUACAUCAGAGAGGAAGAUGGGCAUCCAAGAAACUUGUUAUGGAGUUUGCCUUCAACAUGGCAGAGAUAGCCAUUUGGGCAAGAAACCACUCUUGCCUGGACUGUUUGACUGUAUGCUGUAUAAACUGGACAUGCAGGACCCACAGGAAAGUGACUGCUGAACUUGAAAAACAGUCUGGGACAGUCUCAGGGUUCCUGCCUCAUGGAAGAGUCUGCCAGACAUUCUGUAGGACACAGAAAAAUGUCUGACAAAUUGCCAAUGCAGGCUGACAGUUUAAAAUUUCCUGCUUCAUUGAUAAGUCUGCCAGACACACCAGGCCUGAAAGCUGAAGAUGGAUGCCCCAACAUUACAGAAGAACUUUGGGUGACUGUCCAGGCAGUGAGAUGUCUCUGUCAAUUCUAGAGUUUAUAUAUUAUCCUUCUGAAGUCUUUACUGGAGUUGAAGACAGAUAGUUAUGGUUGUGGUUUUCCUUGGUUAUGAUAAAGGAUAGGUUACAUAUAAGACUUUAGACUCACAGGGAUAGAAUAGAUGAUAGAAUAUUUUCUUUGGAUUUUGCCAAAUGUUAAUGGACUAAAUAUUGUUAACUGUAGUUAUUACUUGAUAACUGUAUUGUUAUAUAUAGUUUUACUGUGUUGAAGUUAAAACCUUUCUAUUUGGACAGAAAAGAGGAGAUGAUGGGGAUGUCCUUCUGUAUAUGCUUCUCUUAUUAGUUGAUGAAUAAAACAUUGUGGUCAAUAGAGGCAGGGAGAUAGGCGGGACUAGGAGACGAGGAGAAUUCUGGGAAAGGAAGGCAGAGAAAGCCUGCCAAAAAGAGACAACAUGUAGCCACUUUUCCAGUCAGAUAAGACCACGUAUUUAGAUUAAAAGAAAUGGGUUAAUAAUUAACACAGAACUAGGCAAUAAGAAGCCCUAGCCUUGCCAGGCAGUGGUGGCACACGCCUUUAGUCCCAGCACUUGGGAGGCAGAGGCAGGCGGAUCUCUGUGAGUUCAAGACCAGCCUGGUCUACAAGAGCUAGUUCCAGGACAGCCUCCAAAGCCACAGACAAACCCUGUCUCGACCCCCCCUCCUCCCCCCCAAAAAAGAAGCCCUAGCAUUCAGGCAGCAGUUGAAUAAUUAAUGUGUUUCUGUGUGUUCAUUUGGGGCUCAAGGGUGGUGGGACCUGGUAGGACGAGAAAAAACUACAGCUACAGGGCUGCCUUUGCUGAGAGAGGGUGGAAUGAUAAGAGCAGGGCUGACAGAGCAGGGCUGGCUGCUAGCCCCUCUAAGGCUAAUACCUCUGCAGCACUGGCGGGAGGGCUCAGGACUCCAGUCACCAGAGCAGUCCUUUUUCCUAAGGCAAUGGUUGCUUCAUGGGAACUGUGAAGAUGAAGACUUGAAAAUAUACCUGUGAUGGAUACAUCUGGGAGGCCUAGGAGUCAGCAAGAGUCUAUGCAGCAUGAGGGCCCAAGUUUCCCACCACCAGCAGCUGGGCCCCAGAGCAUCUAGUCCUAACGUGGUUGUGGAAUAGACAAAAAUAUCUAGCCCUUCCUGGAAGAGUCAAGUGUGGGAGGCAGCUGGAACAGGAAGGCCUGGGAACUAUAACCUGGGGGCUCAGACCACACCCAAGAAGGCCUUUCCCAAGACCAGCCUUUCCAUUAAUGUUUUCUCAGCACAGACAAUCUACACUGGAUAUGGUGGUUACCAUAGACCUGGCAAGCAGCUAUCAUGGUAGUUCUGUAUGUACAAGCUAGUCUGGCUUCUCUCAGACCCCUUAUCCUACUUUAGGAAAGACAGUAUGUCCAUUUGGUAAGCUUGACUCAAGGCUCCACCCCUCCAAAAGGAUGACAUAAUCUGGCAGAAAUACGGCUUCCAGAAAUAGCCCCAUAGGCAGAGUGGCUCACCACCCGCCCCGCUUAGGAACUGUUAUCCCAGGAGCUGUAUGGGCAUUCAGGUCACAGCCAGGAGCUUAUUCCCAUAACCUUCUCAGGAGAUAUUUAAGCUAGGUGUUGAAGAACAAAUAGAAAAUUUCCGGAUAUAGAGGCAUACAAGUGGUACUGGGAAAGGCUGAGGAGCCUGCAGCUGAGGAAAUGCCCUGUAGAAAGAGAAUACAAGAGACUACCUCCCAACUUUCUCCUCCCUGUCUUGAUGAAAAGGAAGUACCAAGACAAGACAAAACAAGAUGGGUGUGCUGGCUAGUUUUAUGCCAACUUGAUACAAGCUAAAUUAUCUGAGAGCAGAGGACUUCAAUUGAGAAAAUGCCUCCAUAAGAUCCAGAUGUAAGGCAUUUUCUUAAUUAGUGAUUGAUGGGGGAAGGUCCAGCCCAUUGUGAGUGGUGCCAUGUCUGGGAUGGUGGUCUUGGAUUCUAUAAGAAAGCAGGUUAAGCAAGCCAUGGGGAGAGAGCAAGCCAGUAAGCAGCACUCUUCCACGGCCUCCGCAUCAGCUCUUGCCUCCAGGUUCCUGCCUUGUUCAAAUUCCUGUCCUGACUUCCUUCAAUGAUGGACUGCAACAUAAGCCAAAUAAACCUUUUGCUCUCCAACUUGCUUUUAGUCAUGGCAUUUCAUCUAAGCAACAGAAGCUCCAAUUAAGACAAAGGGAAUCCCAUGUUGGGAUAUCCCGACUUUUCCUUUGGAUUUGAUGGACAUCUUGCUUCCUCCUGCUAACCAGUUACCCUGAAAUCAAGUUUCCAUAGUCAUGAGACCAGUGAUAGAAAAGCCAUUUGUGUGCAUUGUGUUUUGUUUUUAAUUUUUAAAAUUGGGUUGGAGAGAUAGCUCAGUGGUUAAGGACACUGGCUGUUCUUCCAGGGGACCUUGGUUUGGUUCCCAGCAUUUACAUGGUGGCUCACAACCAUCCGUUAUGAGAUCUGGUGCCCUCUUCUGGUGUGAAGAUAUACAUGGAAGCAGAAUGUUGUAUACAUAAUAAAUAAGAAAAAUCUUAAAAAAAAAAUAAGAAUAAAAAUGGAAGCUCAGUGGCUGGAGAGAAGGCUCAGAGGUUAAGAGCACUGGCUGCUCUUCUAAAGGUCCUAAAUUCAACUUCCAGUAACCACAUGGUAGAUCACAACCAUCUGUAACGAGAGCUGGUGCCCUUUUCUGGCCUGCAGGCAUACAUUGCAGACAGAAGACUUUAUACAUAAUAAAAAUAAAUAAAUCCUUUUUAAAAAUGGAGGCUGGGUCUGGGUGGUGGUGGUAGUGCAUGUCUUUAAUCCCAGCACUCAGGAGGCAGAGGCAGGCUAAUCUAUGUGAGUUUGAGGCCAGCCUGGUCUACAGAGUGAGUUUCAGGACAGCCAAAGAUACGUAGAGAAGCCCUGUCUCACUCAAAAAAUCACCCCCUCCCAUCAAAUGGAGGCUGGGGUGAUGUCUCAGUCAGUAAAACACUGGCUAUACAAGCAUGAGAACCUACAUUCAACCACCAGAACCUAGAUUUAAAAAGCCAAGCAUGGUGGUUUGUGCUUGUAAUAUUAGUGCUUUGGAGGCAGAGACAGGUGAAUCCCUGGCCAGAGAGCCCCACAUCAGUGAAAGACCUUUUAUAAAACACACACACACACACACACACACACACACACACACACACACACACACACACACACAUACCACAACAAAACAAGGAACAAUGCUGUUUUUUACCUUUGGCCUCCACAUUCACAUGGGUAUAUGAGCACAUACACCUGUAUACAUGCACACAUGCCAGCACACACAAUGGAAACAAGGUCUUUCUGUGUCCGGGAUUCACUUGAAACUAUGUUGCUGAGCUGGCUGCACACUUGUAGCAGUGCUCUGGUCUCUACUUCCCAAAUGCUGGGGUUGCAGGUGUGCACUUCAUGGCCUGGCCUUGUAUUUUGUUUUAAAGCAGGGCACGUUGCUGCUGCCAACAAGAGAUGUUUUUUUUAGGAAGGAGGAUGUCAUGCCUACUGUCUUUACAAUAAGUGCCAGACUCCUGUGCACACAAGUGCACCUGGCUGAAUGAUGUAUGGAAAUGAUGUAUGGACAAAACAUGCUGUGCUGACCCAGCAACUGCAAGCAUAAGAAAGGGGAGUAGUGCAAGGGAUGAAUGUGUUUCCUUUGAGAAAACUGAAGAGAGCUGCUAGUAUCUGUGUGUUGCAGAAUGUUUGUUUAACUAUGUAAAGAUGUGUUGCAGAAUAUUUAACUAUGUAAAGAUGUGUUGCAUUUGUUUAACUAUGUAAAGAUGUGUUGCAUUUGUUUAAUUAUUCAAAGAUGUGUUGAAUUUAUUUAACUAUGCAAAGAUGUGUUGC